rfam:Myotis brandtii contig249161, whole genome shotgun sequence.
UUACGAGGGGAAAACACAGGGAACGGAUGAGGUCUCACUGACCGGCAGUCUCCCCAAGCCCCCCGGCCCCAGGCCAAGCCCCUAC